rnacentral:rRNA from 1 species
UACGAAGGGGGCUAGCGUUGUUCGGAUUUACUGGGCGUAAAGCGCACGUAGGCGGCUUUCUAAGUCAGGGGUGAAAUCCUGGAGCUCAACUCCAGAACUGCCUUUGAUACUGGAGAGCUUGAGUCCGGAAGAGGUGAGUGGAACUCCGAGUGUAGAGGUGAAAUUCGUAGAUAUUCGGAAGAACACCAGUGGCGAAGGCGGCUCACUGGUCCGGUACUGACGCUGAUGUGCGAAAGCGUGGGGAGCAAACAGG